rnacentral:lncRNA from 1 species
ACACCUUUCGGCGGAGACUGAAGGGAGCUGUGCUAUAGGUGACUCGAAGGCGAAAUCUGGAGCCUGUACCUGGCGAAGUCAAUGUGACCUCCCCAGAGAGAACCAGUUUUCCUCGCUUCCUCCGGUCCUCAGCAAAACCCCUUCCCUCCUACUUUAGAAACAUAGGAGAUACCUGGAAUCGGCGCGUCUGUUGACCUUUGCACAUUUGUUUCUGCGGAGUGGAGGUCACUUGAGAGAAGUCUAUUAUUCCGGCCUCCUGUCUACUUCCCCUGGAGCCCUUUCCCUUCACGUUUCCUUAUUCCUUUAGCCACAGCCUAUGAACAGCUUGUUUACAAACCCCAGCCUCUGCCAUAGGAAGCUCUUGAAGCUUUCAAAGCCCCAUCAGGCUAAAGUCUCUAUGCAUUACAUAAGACACCUCUUCCAGAGAAUGCUUUUCCCUCUGGAAAUAGACAUAAAUAAGGGAAACACAUGUUCUGAGACGUGCCCUGAGCCAAGUCCUUAGGAAUGACUUUAAGAUCACAAUAGCUCACAGUAGAAGAUUAGCAAAAC